AAAAAAAAUGUUUGACCAAAUGGAUUGAAUAAUUAGCCCCUUUUUGUUGUUCGUCAUCGUACCUGAUUGAAUGCUUGGGGGAGAGGACAGAUGGUUUGGUGGUGGAUUUUGAUGCUUUUUCUUGGCUGCACAGAUGUCUCUGAUGGCGAGCCUCAGCAACCCGUACAUUGUCGACUCCAAGGACGGUUUGGUUGAUGAGAUAAAAAAUCUCAACUGCAAUUCUGUUUUGGGAAUAAUUUGGCAUUCCUUUAGAUGAAAGGUUUUUAUGUUCUUUUUCCCUCUCUCUCUUUGAUGGUUGCAGGGGACCUCUACCUGCAUUGUGACAAGUCACUGUGGAGGAGGUGACAUGGCUGAGAGGAUCAAGAAGGCAAGGGGUGUCCUUUUCUCUGAAGAGGGUGUGCCGAUGGUUCACACAUUGCUCUUGGCCCUUGACUAUCUGCACUGCAACCGUGUGCUUCACCGUGACCUCAAGUGUUCAAACAUUUUUUUAACGAACGAUGAUAACAUCCGACUUGCUGAUUUUGGGCUAGCAAAAUUGCUCAUGGAGGACUUUGCCUCAAUGGUAUGGCUUAAACCCAUGAUAUUAAGUUGUGUAAAUGUAACUCACAAAAACAUUUCCAGUUAGCAAAGGACGAAAGGAAACACAACUAUCAUAUUACCUACAUACAGUCGCACAUGUAUAAAUACCCUUCAUGCAAAGCCUUUUGCUUUUUAAUAAUAAUUCAUAACUGAGUUAUUUAUGACUGAUAAUCUUUGGCCGCAUAAAGGAACAUUGUUCUGUACAAAAAGUGAUACCAUUUCAGUAUAUUUCAACCAGCUUUGUUUCUUUUCCAUCAUCUAUUUUUAGAACUAUAUAUACACAGUACGGCCCUUCCGUACCAUCUCCAUUCAAAAUAUUCUGACAUGUCAAUGAACUGAUAGAUCCCAUUUCCACUUAAUGAAUUUUACGUCUAUGUUUUUCGGAUUGUGGGAACCCCAAACUACAUGUGCCCAGAAAUACUAGCGUACAUACCUCAUGGUUACAAAUCUGAUGUAUGGCCACUUGGUGAGGUCUCAGUACUACAGCUUUUGGAGUUGCUGUAUGUUCGAGAUCUUACCACACCGCCCUGCAUUCAAAGCUGCAUACAUGGCAUCAUUAGUCAACAAAAUAAACAUGUCUUCAAUAUCUCCAAUGCCACCAAUAUAUUCAUCAUCACUGAAGCAGACAGAACACUUGACAUUCAAAGUUGGUUCACUGCCUUUGCUGUUUUGCAUUGUCAUCAUCUGUCAUCUGCUUUCCAUGUUUUAUGAAGCACUUCAUGUUUAUCAGUAAAAAAACGUGAUCAUUACUUGACGACAGUUAUCAUUUCAUCGUUUUGUUCUUUUAUCUCUAUUAACAAUAGUCAUACUAAUUUCUCAGUGUUGCAAAGUUUACCGUGCAUUUUAUACUUAACAGAUGAAUCAUGUAGGAAUGCAAUUUCUUUGAAAUCUAAGAUGUUCUUCCAAUGCUCUGCAGCAUGCUCUCUCAGAAGCUGAACAUGAGCUAUGAUGACGCAGAAUUGUGGAUAAUGAACUUAGUUAGGAAUUCAAAGCUUGAUGCCAAGAUUGAUUCAGUAUCUGGAACUAUUGUCAUGACGACCAAUCAUGUUAUCAUGUAAGUUGCUCCAGCCAUACAUGCUGCAGACUAAUUUAAGCAAUUGAUAGAAUACUAAUAUAUUCAUAUUAUCAAUUUAUGAGCGAGUUUUUCCAAUGUUUUCCUAAUUGCAACCAUCAGCAACUUAUCGAAAGCUUGAAGAGUCUUAACCUGCGGACUUUCAUGCUAGCAAAGAACAUUGUGGAGCCAGCUCAGGCAGUACAGCAGGAAACUCGGUGAGAUUGACAGAAAACGACUGUUUUGAGGCGCCCAAAACUAUUUUAAGUAGAGACAGCCUUGCAAACUUCUGGACUUCUGUUGUUUACCAUUGACUCCGCUCUAUCAGUACUUAAGGUUAACCAGGAGUGAUCUGUCGUUCGCUACAGCAUAUGCUGACGUUUUUUUUUUAUUUUGUACCUGGAAUCCCGUUGCUGAAGUUAAUUCCUUUCCCUUUAGUACUACAAGUGAAGCAUACCUAAUUGAUUGUUAUGGUAUUUCGUGUCUGUCAAGUGGUUAUUUUUUAGUAGCUUUAUAUGUUCUACUAUUUUAGUAUACCCUACUUUAGAUCUGUUUGUUAUUUUCCAUAUUAUUAUAUUGUUGUUGGGCCGCCUGGCCUGUUACUUGCCCCAUUCGGUUUACAUUAUUCUUUUCUGUAUGACAUAACAGGCGCAUUUGCCUCUCCGUUUACUCAUGGUACAACUGCUCCCAAGAGGCGCGCCAGGGCACGCCCCGUCCACUAGUAUACAUAAAGGGUGGCAGAAUGUGGCGCCCCUGGGGGUGUCCACGUUGGCAGGCUACAGUGCCCGGUGUUUUUUUUGGCCCCUUUUUGCAUUACUUAUUUGGGUGGACAUUGCCUUCCCAACUUUUACUGUUCUUGUCGUUGUUGCUGUGUCAGCCUCUCUUUAGCCCAGUGUUUUUUUGGCCCCUUUUUUAGUUGCUUGCUCGGGCCGACGCUGUCUUCCGAACUUUUACCGUUCUUAUCACUGCUGCUGUGUCAGUCUCUCAUUUUUCUUCUGCUUCUCUCUGCCCUACUCAUACAUUUUUCUUCCUUCUUUCAUCGCCUGUUGGCUGUUGCUCUCGGCCUUGGCCGGCGAGGGCGGUGGCGGCCGAUGUAGGCGGCAGCUGCCGGCAGGGCCUGGGACGACUGAGGUGGCCCUAACGACGGCGACGGCUGGUGGCAAAACCUAGGGCGGCCAAUUCGGUGGUGACCGACGGAGGCGGCAGUUGCCGGCCAUGAGGCCCGAGGCGGCGGACGCGGGUGCUGUGACCGAUCCCGCCGAGGUGGCGACGGAUCCGUCUGGGGAGGCUGCGGAUUCCUGGCUUCAACAACCUCAGCCGGAGCUUCCUCACGAAGAUUCCUGCCGGCGAUGAGGCCCGGGGCAGCGGAGGCGGGCGCUGCGGUGGAUCUGGCCUGAGCCGCGAUGGAUCUGGGAGCUAGCGGAGGUUCCUGGCGCCAUGACCUCGGCCAUAGCUUCCUCGUGGCGACGACCUUGCCUAGAGGUUACUGCUGCCGACAAUCUCAGCAUGGGUUUGGCCGAAUCGGAAAAGCGGGCGAUGACCUCGGCAUGGGCCUGGUAUGUUGUUUUCGUUUACGGAAAAGCUCCCGUACGGCAUGCCGUAGGAACGGGACAGUUAAUGACUUAUCUCCUCCGCGCGCACGCCUACAUGCUGCACACGUUUGGUUCCGACGAUGUGGUUUUGGAUCGGUUUGGACUUUAACUAUCCUGUCCUCCGAUGGAAUACCAUCGUAUAGUCGUUCUCUUUCGUUUAUGGGGGUGUGCUUGCAUGCUGAUGGGAGGGGUGGCCACAAAAAAAUCCUAUGUUUCAGUGAGGCUACGCGUGCCUCUUGCAAGAUGUGUGCGCCUUGACAGGAUCAAACAACUAUCUGAAGGACCAAUUCAUCAAAGAAUUGGGAAACAGGCUGAACAAGAUGUACCUUGAUAUGAACAUAACAUCUCCCUACCAAUUUUAUUGGUACAAGUUUUCGUUAGUGGUUUCCGCAUAAAACAUCAUGCUUCUUAUGGCACUGUAUUAUUUUCAACAUAUUUUAUAUGUGGAUGCGGAUAUGUUUCUCUGUCAAAAGCCUGAGCAAUUAUUCAUACUUUCUCCAGA